UACGUAAGGGGCAAGCGUUAUCCGGAUUUACUGGGUGUAAAGGGAGCGUAGACGGCAUAACAAGUCUAAUGUGAAAGGCUGGGGCUUAACCCCGGGACUGCAUUGGAAACUGUUAAGCUUGAGUGCCGGAGGGGUAAGCGGAAUUCCUAGUGUAGCGGUGAAAUGUGUAGAUAUUAGGAGGAACACCAGUGGCGAAGGCGGCUUACUGGACGGCAACUGACGUUAAGGCUCGAAAGCGUGGGGAGCAAAC
rnacentral:rRNA from 1 species